CUACGGGAUGCUGCAGUGAGGAAUCUUCCACAAUGGGCGAAAGCCUGAUGGAGCGACACCGCGUGAAGGAUGAAGGUCUAACGAUUGUAAACUUCUUUUCUGAAGGAGCAUAAUGAGAGUACUUCAGGAAUAAGGGGGGGCUAAUUACGUGCCAGCAGCCGCGGUAAUACGUAAUCCCCAAGCGCUACCCGGAAUUACUGGGUGUAAAGGGUUCGUAGGCGGACAAAUAAGUCAGGUAUGAAAGACCGAGGCUCAACCUCGUGUUUGUGCUUGAAACUGUUUGUCUAGAAUCAGGGAGGGUAAGCGGAAUUCUAAGUGUAGGGGUGCAAUCCGUAGAUACUUAGAGGAACACCAAAAGCGAAGGCAGCUUACUGGAACUGUAUUGACGCUGAGGGACGAAAGCGUGGGGAGCGAAAAGGAUUAGAUACCCCUGUAGUC
rnacentral:rRNA from 1 species